rnacentral:rRNA from 1 species
AGGGUUUGAUUAUGGCUCAGAACGUACGCUGGCGGCACGCCUAACACAUGCAAGUCGAACGAAGUAGCAAUACUUAGUGGCAGACGGGUGAGUAACAUGUGGGUAUCUACCCUUUGGCCUGGAAUAACACGAGGAAACUUGUGCUAAUACCGGAUAAGUCUUUACGGAGAAAGCUUUAUGCACCAUUGGAUGAGCCCGCACUUGAUUAGUUUGUUGGUGGGGUAAUGGCCUACCAAGACUGUGAUCAAUAGCUGAUUUGAGAGGAUGAUCAGCCACAUUGGGACUGAGACACGGCCCAAACUCCUACGGGAGGCAGCAGUGGGGAAUCUUGCACAAUGGAGGAAACUCUGAUGCAGCGAUGCCGCGUGAGUGAAGAAGGCCCUUGGGUUGUAAAGCUCUUUCGUCGGGGAAGAAAAUGACUGUACCCGAAUAAGAAGGUCCGGCUAACUUCGUGCCAGCAGCCGCGGUAAUAC